rnacentral:tRNA from 1 species
GGAGAUCUUAGCUUAAUUAAAGUGUUUGAGUUGCAAUCAGAAGAUGUAUAUCUAUACAGGUCUU